rnacentral:rRNA from 1 species
UGCCAGCAGCCGCGGUAAUACGGAGGGUGCAAGCGUUGCUCGGAAUCACUGGGCGUAAAGCGACCGCAGGCGGCUUGCCAAGUCCGAUGUGAAAGCCCAGGGCUCAACCCUGGAAGUGCAUCGGAAACUGGCUCGCUUGAGUACGAGAGAGGAAAGCAGAAUUCCUGGUGUAGAGGUGAAAUUCGUAGAUAUCAGGAGGAAUACCCGCGGCGAAGGCGGCUUUCUGGCUCGAUACUGACGCUCAUGGUCGAAAGCGUGGGGAGCAAACAGGAUUAGAUA